rfam:Canis lupus familiaris chromosome 10, whole genome shotgun sequence.
CGGGGGAGGCCGGAUCCUGGGCUGUGUCCCGGCGCCCUGUGCUCCGGAGCCUGUGCAGUUGGAUUCGCGCUCCCGGGCCGCGCAGCCCCCU